rnacentral:rRNA from 1 species
UAGGAUUAGAUACCCUAUUAUUAAUAAUGUAAAGUGGAUUAACCUGAGUAGUAAUAGGUAUGGUCUUGAAACUUAAAGGAUUUGGCGGUGUCUUAGUCUAUUCAGAGGAAUCUGUCCCGUAAUCGAUAGUCCCCGUUAAGGCUUUACUUAUUCUUGUUAUCAGCUUGUAUACCGCCGUAGAUGUGGGAAUUAUUAAGUGUCUUUCUUGAUUUUAUUUAAUUGAACAUCAGGUCAAGGUGCAGUUAAUGGGUAAGAGGAGAUGGAUUACAAUUAGUUGAUAAUACGGAUUUGUAUUUUAAAAGUGUAAUGAAGGUGGAUUUGAACGUAAUAUCAUUUGCAAUAGGUGGUUUGAGUUUGGCUCUAAGACAUGCACACAUCGCCCGUCGCUCUCGUUAUAAUAUGAAAUAAGUCGAAACAUA